rnacentral:rRNA from 1 species
CCUACGGGGGGCAGCAGUGGGGAAUAUUGGACAAUGGGGGGAACCCUGAUCCAGCCACGCCGCGUGUGUGAAGAAGGCCCUCGGGUUGUAAAGCACUUUCAGUGAGGAAGAACGCCUGGUGGUUAAUACCCAUCAGGAAAGACAUCACUCACAGAAGAAGCACCGGCUAACUCCGUGCCAGCAGCCGCGGUAAUACGGAGGGUGCGAGCGUUAAUCGGAAUUACUGGGCGUAAAGCGCGCGUAGGUGGCUUGAUAAGCCGGUUGUGAAAGCCCCGGGCUCAACCUGGGAACGGCAUCCGGAACUGUCAAGCUAGAGUGCAGGAGAGGAAGGUAGAAUUCCCGGUGUAGCGGUGAAAUGCGUAGAGAUCGGGAGGAAUACCAGUGGCGAAGGCGGCCUUCUGGACUGACACUGACACUGAGGUGCGAAAGCGUGGGUAGCAAACAGGAUUAGAUACCCUGGUAGUC